ACGCUGGCGGCAGGCCUAACACAUGCAAGUCGAGCGGUAGAGAGAAGCUUGCUUCUCUUGAGAGCGGCGGACGGGUGAGUAAUGCCUAGGAAUCUGCCUGGUAGUGGGGGAUAACGUCCGGAAACGGACGCUAAUACCGCAUACGUCCUACGGGAGAAAGCAGGGGACCUUCGGGCCUUGCGCUAUCAGAUGAGCCUAGGUCGGAUUAGCUAGUUGGUGGGGUAAUGGCUCACCAAGGCGACGAUCCGUAACUGGUCUGAGAGGAUGAUCAGUCACACUGGAACUGAGACACGGUCCAGACUCCUACGGGAGGCAGCAGUGGGGAAUAUUGGACAAUGGGCGAAAGCCUGAUCCAGCCAUGCCGCGUGUGUGAAGAAGGUCUUCGGAUUGUAAAGCACUUUAAGUUGGGAGGAAGGGCAGUAAAUUAAUACUUUGCUGUUUUGACGUUACCGACAGAAUAAGCACCGGCUAACUCUGUGCCAGCAGCCGCGGUAAUACAGAGGGUGCAAGCGUUAAUCGGAAUUACUGGGCGUAAAGCGCGCGUAGGUGGUUCGUUAAGUUGGGUGUGAAAUCCCCGGGCUCAACCUGGGAACUGCAUUCAAAACUGACGAGCUAGAGUAUGGUAGAGGGUGGUGGAAUUUCCUGUGUAGCGGUGAAAUGCGUAGAUAUAGGAAGGAACACCAGUGGCGAAGGCGACCACCUGGACUGAUACUGACACUGAGGUGCGAAAGCGUGGGGAGCAAAC
rnacentral:rRNA from 1 species